GAUGAACGCUGGUGGCGUGCCUAACACAUGCAAGUCGAGCGAUUCUCUUCGGUGAAGAGCGGCGGACGGGUGAGUAACGCGUGGGUAACCUGCCCUGUACACACGGAUAACAUACCGAAAGGUAUGCUAAUACGAGAUAACAUGCUUUUAUCGCAUGGUAGAAGUAUCAAAGCUUUUGCGGUACAGGAUGGACCCGCGUCUGAUUAGCUAGUUGGUGAGGUAACGGCUCACCAAGGCGACGAUCAGUAGCCGACCUGAGAGGGUGAUCGGCCACAUUGGAACUGAGACACGGUCCGGACUCCUAGGGGAGGCGGCAGUGGGGAAUAUUGCACAAUGGGCGGAGGGCUGAUGCAGCAACGCCGCGUGAGCGAUGAAGGCCUGCGGGUCGUAAAGCUCUGUCCUCAAGGAAGAUAAUGACGGUACUUGAGGAGGAAGCCCCGGCUAACUACGUG
rnacentral:rRNA from 1 species